AUUGAACGCUGGCGGCAGGCUUAACACAUGCAAGUCGAGCGGGGGAAGGUAGCUUGCUACCGGACCUAGCGGCGGACGGGUGAGUAAUGCUUAGGAAUCUGCCUAUUAGUGGGGGACAACAUCUCGAAAGGGAUGCGAAUACAGCAUACGUCCUACGGGAGAAAGCAGGGGCUCUUCGGACCGCGCGCUAAUAGAUGAGCCUAAGUCGGAUUAGCUAGUUGGUGGGGUAAAGGCCUACCAAGGCGACGAUCUGUAGCGGGUCUGAGAGGAUGAUCCGCCACACUGGGACUGAGACACGGCCCAGACUCCUACGGGAGGCAGCAGUGGGGAAUAUUGGACAAUGGGGGGAACCCUGAUCCAGCCAUGCCGCGUGUGUGAAGAAGGCCUUAUGGUUGUAAAGCACUUUAAGCGAGGAGGAGGCUACUUUAGUUAAUACCUAGAGAUAGUGGACGUUACUCGCAGAAUAAGCACCGGCUAACUCUGUGCCAGCAGCCGCAGUAA
rnacentral:rRNA from 1 species